CCUACGGGUGACAGCAGUCGAGAAUCAUUCACAAUGGGGGAAACCCUGAUGGUGCGACGCCGCGUGGGGGAAUGAAGGUCUUCGGAUUGUAAACCCCUGUCAUGUGGGAGCAAAUUAAAAAGAUAGUACCACAAGAGGAAGAGACGGCUAACUCUGUGCCAGCAGCCGCGGUAAUACAGAGGUCUCAAGCGUUGUUCGGAAUCACUGGGCGUAAAGCGUGCGUAGGCUGUUUCGUAAGUCGUGUGUGAAAGGCGCGGGCUCAACCCGCGGACGGCACAUGAUACUGCGAGACUAGAGUAAGGGAGGGGGAACCGGAAUGCUCGGUGUAGCAGUGAAAUGCGUAGAUAUCGAGAGGAACACUCGUGGCGAAGGCGGGUUCCUGGACAUUAACUGACGCUGAGGCACGAAGGCCAGGGGAGCGAAAGGGAUUAGAUACCCUGGUAGUC
rnacentral:rRNA from 1 species